CUGUUUGUAUAUGUGAGUGCUUGCUUGCUUGCAUAUGUGUGUAAGUGUGCUAUUGUCGGGUGCGCUGUGUGGCUUAAGCAACAACACAUAGCACACAUACACACAGAUACAUUUUGUUGAUGACGACGACAGCGACGCGACGAAGCGACGUUAUAUGUACAAUGACUGUCGGCAGCGCAGUCGACGCAGCCAACACAUUUUCGAGCGUUUCUACUGUGUGCCUCUGGUGAACGUAUCUUUCGGUUUGCCAGAUUAUUUGUGAUUUUAGCAUGGUAGACUAAGGUACAACGUCGCUCGCACGCACGUUCGUUCGUUCGCUAGCUCGUUUCGUCGUAGUCUCGUCGAAAAGAAGAAAUAUUUUUUGUGCAAAGCUAACACUAUAGUAGCGCCGCCGACACAUUAGCCUAGCUAGUAGUUGUCAAUAGGGUAAUGACAACGCGUGUAUAUUUUUCAUUCCAAAAAAAAAAAAAACGCGCGUACGUGAUUGUUUCCACUAAACAAAAAUAUAUAUAAAUAUUACUAAUAAGCAGCUAUACAACAACAAAUAAACGUAUACAAUAUUUUGCCGAAAAAUCAUUUGUUUCAAGCAAGUAAGCAAAACAUAACAAAGUGUAUAGUAAAUGUGAACGAGAAUACAAAAGAAUGUUGUGUGCAACAAAAAUUCAAAAACAAAAUAUUUUCGAAAUCAAAACUAACACAACAAAUGACAAGUGACAGUUGAAAAGUGACAUUUUUGGAAUUUUGUAUGGAAUGUGACUGUGAGUUGUGGCGUUUUGGAGAAGACAAGUGAAUUUUCAACUAGAAAAGAACCCGAAAAGAUUUUUUAAGUUUGCCGCACAAAUUACAACUCAGCAAACCAGUGACAACAACGUACUGUGCAAAUAUAAAAUUUGUAAAAAUUAAAACUAAAUUCCACUCAAGUAUUACUAUAAGAAACUAGUGCAUUUUGUACAAAAAAAUUUCGGCACACAACAACAAUUGCACCAAAAAACGCGCGCUCUGCUACAAACAACACCGCUUGAGCCAGUAAACCAAAGUCAAGUGUAACCAACUAGCAAUAAAACACAUUGACAUUUGCCGAAAAAGCAGCAGCAGGAACAACAACAGCAACGUUAACAAGUAGUAGAGAAACAGUGCAAAUACCAAAGUUGUUGCAGCAUCUUAACGUCUCUGUGUAUAUGUAUGCAUAUGCACAACAAUCAGCAGAUUUCCGCAUUGAGUGGCGUAAACAAAGCGGCAGCAAGCAAGCACCUCUUGUGGCAAAUACAAUAAGCGCGCAAAACCACGCACAAGUGCAGCAGCAGCAACAACAACAACUGCUAGCACUACCAAGUGACAAGUAGAAUAGCGCCAAUAAGCAAGUGUAAUAAAACAGUGCGUACCAUAAGUAAGCAUAACACAACUAUUAGAACUAGAAGCAGCAACAAAACGCAUAUUUUGCAGAAACUUUUUGUGAACGCUCUAAACUAACUAUAUACCAUAUAGCAGCAACAAAAAGUAUUAGAAAAAAGCGCCCAAAGAACAUAAGAAGAACACAAUUAUUUUGGAAGAAACUACAAAAAAAAAUCAUAACUUCAAAUUGUCGGUUUAUGAUUUCUGGCCAAUAAAAGCAACAAGCGCACGUAGCUAAAGAACAGCAAGCGCAGCAGUAGCAACCAAUUGGAGUUUACACUAAGCAAAAACAGUGGCAACUGUAUAUUUUAUUAUUUUCAAACUAUAAUGUGCACUGAGCAAAUUGGCUUGUGUAUAGUGCAGGGGAAUAGCGCUUGCUGUUUGGGCGCAGUAAAAUAGUGAGCGCUGGGGACUAUUAUGAUUUAUUUUAGCAUUUAGGUAGAGCAAGGAAGAGUAACAUUAUAAAAAAUGGUUGUAAACACUAUUUUUUAAAACAUUUUCUUAUAUGUUUUUUUUUUGUAUUGAAAAAGUAGUUCAAAAAAGUAUUUUUAAUUAGUAAUCACUAUAAUUUUCGAAUCAAUAUUUAAACAACAUAUUUUAAAUAAAAAUUUUCAAAACCCUAACGACAACGUUUAGACUUAUAUGCGUUUUAUAAAAACUACUAACUAAUAAUUGCAGAAAUUAUUAUUUAAAAUAGCAGUGAUAAGCAAUUAAAAAUUAAAGCGAACUAUUUUGCAGUUGUAUAAUAUUAUGCACAGAAUUGUUAAAAAAUUUUGUAUUGUUCAUAUUUAACGAAUUCAAAAUUAAGCAGCACUCAUUUUCGAAACCAAAAAUUUUUAUUACUUUAAAAUUUUGAAUAUUUUAAAUUUUUAAUAUAAAAUGCAUUUGUAUAAAAUAUAUACAAUUUUAAAUAAUUUUGCUUAGCUUACCUAUUUAAAGAGUGCAUAAAUUCAAAAUAAUUCUGAACUAGGUUAAUAUAACUUUUUUAUUUCAAUCAGUAGGCAAAAAGCCAGCUUCGUUAUUGGCUCGAUCAUGUUUUUAAGAAUUUGUAAGCAUUAAUUUUCACUUCAAGCCUGCUUUAUAUUCUAUUCAGUUCGAAAAUAAUUCAAAAUAGAUCUAUACUAUUCACUAUAUAACGUGCUUUAGAUAUUUUUAAAAUUGCAUACGAUUCAAUAAUAUUUUCCGAAAUCUGUUUGAAUUACUUUUCGCUGUUUUAUAUGCCACUUUGCUCUAAUACGCAGAAAAAGCUAUUUCUUAGGCCUUUUGAUAUGAAAAUAAGUAUUUUCAAAACACCUUUUAGGCAUUAAUAAAAAACGAUGCGAUGACAUUGCUCUAUUUUGAUUGCAAAAACAAUUUUAACGAUACAAUAACUAUUAUAAACUGUUCUUUGCAAUAUUCUCCACAUUUACUAGCUUCAGAUAUAUUAUAUUUUAAAUUUUUACCGUUUUAUGUAGAGAUACUCAUAAGAUUUAAGUUUGAGUUUAAGAGUUAACUUUUCUUUAAAGUCUAUAAAAAUUAUGUAUCACCAUGAGUAUUUAGAAAAAGUGACACCUCUGUAUACAUCGACAAUUUUUUCACAAAACUUUUUCUAUCCAAACUCGUGAGUAUUUUUUCACGCUUAAUGUUAAUUCAAAUUAUUUAGAUAUUUUUAAAAUUGACAACUACUACAUGAAUAAUGCUAAAAAGUCAUGACACACGGUGGAGCAAAUAAUAUCGAAAGUCGAUGAGUGUAUGUAGAUCUGACUGCGUAAAGAAUAAGUGAGUAAUUUGUGGUUUUGCGGAUUCUUAAUAAAGACUACUGUCCCAACAAGGAUAAUUCAAAGAAUUGCAAUGUAGUCAUGAAAGAAAAACUUGCAAAUUGAAACUUAUUUAUUAAAUUAUAAUUAAUUUUAAUAGAAAAUGAUGAGUUGGGAAAAUAAAUAUCUAGUGAUAAUAGUAGUACGUAGAAGAAGUUAGAAACAUUUCACACAAAUAGUUUCAAUUAAAGCAAAUGCUUACUAUUUGAGAGUAUUACUUGUAUAUUGAAAAAAUUAAAAAAAAAAUAAAAAGUUGCCGAAAUCUUUAAAAGCUUAGAUGCUUUAGGCUAUUUAGAGUACACUAUUUCAAAACCAAAUGCAGCAGCAUGUGUCCUUAACUAAAUUUAGUUGUCUUUAUUUUGAUAAUUUUAAAUAUAGCUUUAAAAAUCUAAAAUGCUUAAGUCAAAAAAUAUGAUUUUGAACAAUUAACCACACACUUUGUCUGUAAUUCAGCAGUACUGCAUUUAAUUAAUGUCCUUCUGCUGUCUACACUUUCAUACAUACACGCUCUAGCUUGGCAAGCACUUAAGUGCUAUUAACCCUUGCCUUCCUGGUGAUUAUAAGCUAUUAAUUUGCACACCUUCAAUAUCCUAGAAUGUCCUUCGCACACAUAAGCGCAGGCACAAAACUAAUACCAAAACAAGUGUUGCAAAUUUAUAAUGAAAUAACAACAACGAAAAGUUGACUAGACGCAUUUUGAAGCAUAAUGUUAUAACUGACCAGCUGAUAGCGCCAAACUGCAUGUUAAUCCUACUUGCAACCGACCAAUUUCAAAUCCAACAUGUGGUUACGCCAAUUUCCGAGCCUUAUCAGCAAAGCAACACAACAACAAACAUAUAGGCAUACGAACAUAUGACUACGCAGCAGCAUCCUAGCGGUGAGUCGCUUAACGUGUAAAGUGGCGCUUUGCACAACCACAACAGUGCUGUAAGUCGAUGCAACAUGCAGGCAAAGGCAGACAAGCUACAACGAAGUCGACGCUGUGCCUCCCCGCAAUUGGUGGGUGAAUGUGUGUCUUUGGGAAGCAGAUGCAUACAAACAGCGCAAAUACGCACACAUAUGUAUGUUUGAGUAGCUGUGGGCGCAUACAUAUGCUUAGAUCAAAACAGAGGCACAUGUUGCAAGCAAACGUAGCACCGAGACGAGUCUUUAUUGGCGCUUGCGAAUGAGAAAUAGCUGUGCGACAAACGUUUUAGUGAUCAUAUAGAUAAAUAUAUAUAUAUAAAUGUGAAUUGCACUUGUCGGCGGCUCCCUACAUGCCAGCAGCACCAAUACAGCUGCCGCAUUCGAGGCGCAACAGCCUUUGUUGAUUUUGCCUUAACGUCAUAGCACGUGUUGCAAGGUUGCAUGCUGCAUUCCUUAUUCACAAAUAAAUCACCUAAACACAUUAUUUGUUGUUAUUGUUGAUUUUUUUUUUUUUGCGUAGCAAAUAACGUACGUCAGCAGCGAGUCCAUGACAAGUUACUUAAGAAAGCAGAAAAAAUAAGCGCAAACGUUGGAGCAACAUAAACAACAUCUGCUAGUGUGCAUGCAAUGCGGAAAAGUUAGCAAAACUUGCAUUCUUGUGUGGCAAACUGCCUUCCUUUCUUGGCUGCUGCAAACAAUAAACAAAACACAAAAGCCGGCUAAAGUGCGUGCAACAUUACGUUGCGGCGCACAUAUAAUGUUAGAAAAGUUGGCGAAAACUUUUUAUUUCCUUUAAGCGCACUUUCCGCUGCUUAUUUCUAACUUUUAUAUAUUUUUUUUUUUUAAUUUUUUAAAUUUUUUUAAUUCCAAAACAUAUUUUGCACAGAAAUAUCUAAAAAAAAUCAGACAAGAUUGGUAUGAUAUUUAUAUGCAUACACAUAUGUUGCAAUAAUAUCAUACCAAUCUUUGCCUGCAUGCAACAUGUGCGGAAAAAAGCAACUAAAACACAGGUGUUGCAUGAACAUCCUUUACCAAACCAAAUUAGCGGUGUAACAAGUCACUUACAAACACUGAAAUAUUUAUGCUGCAAUGCACGUGCUGUUCUUAUGAUUUUUGUUUUUAUAUUUGUUUUCUGCCUCGCUGCCCCUUGGCGCUGUUUCACGCUAUCGCUAAUGCUGCCGCACUCAUUCAACGUGGCGCGUUGUGCCCAAGGGCAGACCGUGCUGUCAAUUUAACGCUUGAAGUUUGUGCUUUCUUCGCUAUAUUUUACAUACAUACAGACAUAACUUUUGCUCAUUGUAUUCUGUUGCAUGCAACGUUGCACGCCGGCAGCGACAACUUUUUUCAUAACAUUUCUAUAAAUGCGCGCACAUAUUUUGGUAAUUACGACAUGACCUUUGUUGUCGUUAUUAUUUGUCUGUGGUUGUCGUAGUUGGCUAGUUUGAAUUUUUCACAUUCUUUGUUUUGCUCGGCAAAUUUUCAACACACACCACUUGUUUAUCUUUUUGCAGCGCUUUCACAACAAAAAAAAAAUGGUACAAAAACAAAGCAAACAAGCAUAAACACCUAACCAAUAAUUUCCUCCACCAUUCAAGCAAUAAAGAAAUACCGAACAUUUUCAACGACAUUAAUUACUUCUGCUCAAAAGCACACGCGCGCGCAUAGUGUUAGUGAGCGCUUAGCGCUUUUUAUGCAUGUACACAGGUAUGUGUGCUUUUUAAUCAUGCACCUUUAAAGACACUAAUCUUUAAGAGCGCGCGUAGUCGCUACAUUCGCUAGCGCUGCGACGCGCCGCAACGCGUUGACAGCGUCAACGUCGACAUCAUCCACAUCAGCAAGAUUGCUGCGCGCUUAACAUCCGCCAAGUUAAAACUCGACCACAUUUUUUCUUUUGUUCAAUAACAAACGCAAACAUCUCCUGCUGUCGGCGCGUCACGCAUUAAAACUGCUUCCGUUCAUUCAUUGCUUUGGCCGCGGCGAUUUGGUUGGUUGUUGUUUGUGCCGCCGCGCCAUUUACUCAGCGUCAUAAUAAUUACAAAAUCAUAUUGUGACUUGCCGAACAUUAAGAAAUGUGUAUAUACAUACAUACAGACAGACAUUUUUAAUUGUCAUCAUUCUUAUUGUUAAUUGUUUGGCUUUCGCUUUCAUUACGACGCAAACAGUGGAAAAGUUACACUACAAUACGAAAAAGUCAAAACAAAGUGUGUUAAAAUUUUAAAAUAUGAUUUUUUAUACUUUCGCAUAAUUUUACUGCCACAACAGUACACAGCGCUUGCACCUGCCUUAUCAGCGCGCCAGCAGCAAUAGUCUAAAGAACAGCUGAGCGCUAAGGCUGGGCAAACCAAUUUAUGCAACAAAUCACCAAAACAACAAUAAUCAUGCUGAGAAUAUAGACCAGCAAUAAUAGGUCAACGUAGCAGGCAGUUAAAUUGCAACCUUUAAUGCGAGACGCGCAGUGAUAAGACAACAAAUAAAACAAUAAGUACGCUGCAAAGAGCAACGCUAGCAAUCAGGUGGUCAGGCAGCAAUUAACAAAUAAAAAUAAAUGGAAAAGAGUAACCUUAAAAUUAAAACGAAAGCGCAGACGGGCAUUCCCAUAAUGUAGAAAAAAUAUAAAGGAGAUAUAACAACAACAAAAAACAACAGUUAGCGGCAUGCUGCGACUGCUGUUAUCCUUACCACUACUUAACAUGCCACAAAAGUCGUGCUCAUUUUCAUUUAUGGCAACAACACAAAUACAUACAUACAUAUAUGCCAUACAUAACGACAAGUGGCGCGCAGUGCCAGUGCUGCUAUUUUGCAUGCUGCCAAUAAUGGCAUAAACCCCAAAACCCGCAGCUAGCAGCCAAAAAGCGCCUUUUAAUGUUGCCGCCGCAUUGCCUGCCACCAACACAGUAGCAGCAUCACCACCAAGCUAUUGCUGCUGUUAUAGCAAUUACUCUGCUGAGUGCGCGCACUUUUGCAACAUCUUGUGAGAGGCGACGAUGCUGAUGACGACUACAACGACGACGGCGGCUGCAGCUGCUGCUACUGGUGUAUGGGAUGAUGUGCGAUAUUUAUUCAUAAAUAGCGUUAAAUGUUGGCGCGCCGGUUCAGUUGUUAGCCAACCAACGACCAAACAAGACGACCAACUCAAGACCAAACGGCGAACGAGUGAACAAAUGCAUGCCUGUGAAUGUACGUUGAUGUGGGUUAAACUCGAAGCGCAACAAUCGCUACGACAGCAAUUAUAAUAAAAUUUCUAUGUAUGGACAUGCGACCAAGCGGCGGGUAGUAAAUUUCGAUUUUCUGAAUGUGUGCAAAACGUAUUAAACGAGCAUGUUGCACGCACUACAACAGCGUUGUUGCAAGUAGCUGUUGCUUGUUGGGCAUAUAUUUCAGCGACGAGACCUCGAGCGCGGUGCCCCCAGCAUAACUACGUGCAACAUGAAGUGGGUGGGUUGGCUCGCUUGUUGGGCUUGUUCGUUGUUGUUUCGAUUUUCACAACAAUGGCAGUUGUAACUAUGUUGUAUACACACAUAAGCAUAUGUAUUGCAUGUGUCCGAAUAUCGUCGUCGUUCGACGACAGAAGAGUUAAAAGUUUGCGCGUAUUGUCGUCCGAAAUUUGGCGCUGCACGGCGCGAGUAACGUCAGAAGUGCAGGUUGCUUAGCACUUAACUAAAAUCGGUCGCGCCGUGUUUGACAACGCGCUUGACUCUAACCUGUUGUUUGUUCGGUAGUGGCAAGCAUUUGUUGUUAUUUUUCUAUUAGUAUUUAUCAAUUUAUGAUGCUCAUAUGCAAAUAGUGUGCAUUGUGUCCAUCAAACGUCUUACGGCUUGCCGUGCUACACUUUGUGGCAUGUUAACGCUAUUUUACGUGACACAUAAGCACUUGUAAAUGCAUAUAAUGAAUAUAGAAGUACUUAUUUGUCUCAUAUUAACUCUUUUACUUACGCUGUUUAAUAUUUUUUCUCUUGAAAAAAUCCUGCAACCUAUAUUUUACUUUCAACAAAUUCACAAAAUCGUUUAAAAAGUCGAUCAACUCACUUAAAAUGUCCUGUGCUGCAAUGCACUUCAUUAUCUCAGCAUCUCUGCUCUGCAAUAUUUACCAUUAUAUUACAAUUUAAUUACUACAACAUGCCAUACAGCUUGCGUACUUACCCUCAAAAGCUCUUACACACUUUCUUCUUUGCUCACUCGCAUGAGCUGCACUCAUUUUCUACGCCCGUCGUUGCUGCCUCACGUAAACAGCUGAUUUUAAAUUUCGCCACUUUUUCACGUUUUCCUUGUAAACAGCAGCGCUACUUAUACCUCUUUACAUACAUAUAGUAUGUAUAUGUGUGUGCGUGCAGACAGUUAUUUUCACAUUUGCCUUUCAUCCUUUUCCAAGCUUUUCAUGCUGCCCAUUUCACUUGUCAAAAAAGUAAUCGUGUGCACAUUGCUUGCCUCUUAUUAAUGGUUUUCGUCUGCUUCAUUGAUACUUUGCGGGCGGAGCGCGCCUCUUCUGCCAAUUUGCCGCUUCUGUGGACCCUUGCUUUGCUUGUUGACUCGCUGUGCUUACGCGCUUGUCGAUUAUGCGGUUGGUGGUGGCGAUUUCUGCUAUAAAUGCGGUUAAAAUUUAUAACUUGUUGCUUUAAUGAAUACGUGCAGGGGUUUUUUGGGAGCUUUAUGAGUUACCAUAUGGGUUAUGUUUGCAGUAAUGUAUAUAUGUAUAUUUUAAAGCUUGCAUUUUUGACCCAUAUAUUUGCUGAUGAUGUGGGAAAGUCACAUUUUUUUAUCGUUACAAUUCGAUUUAGGCAAAUCUAAUCACAAUUGCCACAUAUUUUGAAUUUAUUGAAUGAAUAAAUGAGCUGAAAAAUAUAAUUUUAUAUGUUACAGAAACAAAAAAUGUAAACAAACGUUUAAAAUUAACAAAAUAUUAAUAAUAAUAAAAAAUUUUAAAGUUAUUAAAAUAAAAAAUUAAAAAAGAUUCCUUUCUUAUGUUUACAAAAUGCACAAAAACACAUAAAAUUCAUAAAAAUAUAUAUAUAAGAAUAAAAAUAAAAAGUGCAAAUAGAAAAUUAUAAAAGAGAAUAAAAUAAAAAUUUAAAAAAAUAUUUAUAACAAUAAACGUAAUAAAAAAAAAUUUAUAAAACAAAAACCAGUUAAAUAAGCGUAUAAUAAAGUAUUUGAUAAAAAUAUAAAAACUUUUAAAUAUAAAAAUAAAACAAAAUAUUAA